ACUAAACAAUCUGAGGAAGAGAACAGGUCUGUAUUCUGGAUUUCAUUUUUUUCAGUAGUGAUUUUCUAUAAGGAGUGUGAAGCUGAGUACUGACACAUGCUGACAUGUGAUUGGCUACAACGUGGCUCAGAUGUGAUUGGCUACAGUUCUGUGAAUGAACACAGUGGUCAGGAGAUGGAGAGAGUGGUCAGGAGAUGGAGAGAGUGGUGAGGAGAUGGAGAGAGUGGUGAGGAGAUGGAGAGAGUGGUCAGGUGAUGGAGAGAGUGGUCAGGAGAUGGAGAGAGUGGUGAGGAGAUGGAGAGAGUGGUGAGGAGAUGUAUGUUGUAUUGUGUCAGACAGAACCAGAGCCCCUGAUAUCAGCAGAGAAACAAGGAGAGAACAAUAAACAGUGCACAAACACCGUUAAUCAACUUUCCUCUUCCUCCGGCGUCACUGAAUGAGUUCUUCAUUUAAGAGAAAACACCAUCUCAGCUCCAAAUCUCUCUCUUAUUCACGCUUUCGCCUCAUUUAUGAGUACAAUUGUGGACGGACUGUUACUAAAACGCUGUUGCACAAAGCCCAAACGAUUCUUUUGUUCAGCUGUGGUGAGAUUCUGUAAAAGUCUUUAUGAGCUGCUAGAACAUUUCCACAAUUUGGACCGGUUCUCUAAAGUGAGUAAAGCGUGCAGUGCUCUCAUCUUCAUCCUGUGGUGUGAAGUGAUUUCCCAGGGAAAGUGGUUCAAUAAAGUUCUAACCUUUCAUUUUUAAAGCCCAGUUAAACUCUGAAUCAUCGAGUCAAAAGCAAAGGUCAGAACAUAAAACAGAACCCAGACAUAUCAUUUUGCUCUUUGGGUACUGAAAUGUGUAUGGAAGGAUUUCAGAAAAAAGUAGCCUUGGGGCGGUGAAAAUAAAACGCCUCACGAUCUAAAUAAACGAAUGAACUAAAUAAAUAAAGUAACGAUCUUCGGUUCUAAAUCUCACUGUAAAAAACGCUUCAAAAGAGGUUCUACAUGGAAAGAAACGAAGAUCCUGUCUGGGUUCCCAAGAGAACCAAACCGAUGAACUGUUUAGGAUGCUAACGUAAACUCAUAAGAAUAAAACGGUGAUUUUUAAAUGGUUCUUCAAUGAGUUUCUCUGGAGUUCUUAAAUUAGAACCCUCUCAAAUAAGAGGUGGUUGUAGGGUGAAUCCUUUUUGGGUCUCUGGAGGGAAAUAUAUAUAACUAUAUCUCUUUUUUUUCUUAAAGUCUAUCUUUCAAACAAGAGAAA
ensembl:lncRNA